rnacentral:rRNA from 1 species
AUUGAACGCUGGCGGCAUGCCUUACACAUGCAAGUCGAACGGCAGCACGGGGGCAACCCUGGUGGCGAGUGGCGAACGGGUGAGUAAUACAUCGGAACGUGCCCCGUAGCGGGGGACAACCAGGUCGAAAGACCUGGCUAAUACCGCAUACGCUCCACGGGGAAAGCAGGGGAUCGCAAGACCUUGCACUAUGGGAGUGGCCGAUGCCCGAUUAGCUAGUUGGUGAGGAAAGGCGUACACCAAGGCAACGAUCGGUAGCUGGUCUGAGAGGACGACCAGCCACACUGGGACUGAGACACGGCCCAGACUCCUAC